GGUUGUGGCUCAGUGGUAGAGCGCUUGCCUAGCAUGUGUGAGACACUGGGUUCCUUCCCCGGCACCA
rnacentral:tRNA from 1 species